rnacentral:rRNA from 1 species
CCCUUCGACGUCUGGGGCCGCACGCGUGCUACAGUGGUGGUGGUAACGCGCGUUCCGUGCUCGUAAGGUGUUCGGGAAUCGUCAAGCUCCCCCAUGCCGGGGAUCGCGGCUUGCAAUUGUGCCUCGUGAACCAGGAAUGCCUAGUAGGCGCAAGUCAUCAGCUUGCGUCGAUUACGUCCCUGCCCUUUGUACACACCGCCCGUCGCUCCUACCGAUUGGGUGUGCUGGUGAAAUGUUCGGAUCGGCCGUUUGUCGCGGUUUCCGCGUCAUGUGGCUGAGAAGUUCAUUAAACCCUCCCACCUAGAGGAAGGAGAAGUCGUAACA